rnacentral:tRNA from 1 species
GAACCGGUAGCUCAGGCGGCAGAGCAACGGACUUUUAAUCCGUGGGUCGAGGGUUCGAGUCCCUCCCGGUUCA